CUGCCCUUAGUUGCCAACGGUUCGGCCGGGCACUCUAAGGGGACUGCCGGCGACGAGCCGGAGGAAGGAGGGGACGACGUCAGGUACUCGUGCCCUUUAUGCCCUGGGCUACACACGCGCUACAAUGGGUGGUACAAUGGGUUGCGACCCCGCGAGGGGGAGCCAAUCCCUAAAACCACCCCCAGUUCGGAUCGCAGGCUGCAACCCGCCUGCGUGAAGCCGGAAUCGCUAGUAAUCGCGGAUCAGCCACGCCGCGGUGAA
rnacentral:rRNA from 1 species